AUUGAACGCUGGCGGCAGGCCUAACACAUGCAAGUCGAGCGAGCGGCGGACGGGUGAGUAAUGUAUGGGGACUGCACGAUAGAGGGGGAUAAAUACUGGAAACGGUGGCUAAUACCGCAUACUAUCGGAUAACCCAUAUGGGAUUAGCUAGUAGGUGGGGUAAAGACUCACCUAGACGACGCUCUCUAGCUGGUCUGAGAGGAUGAACAUCCUCACUGGUACGGAGACACGGCCCAGACGCCUACGGAGGCAGCAGUGGGGAAUAUUGCACAAUGGGCGCAAGCCUGAUGCAGCCAUGCCGCGUGUAUGAAUAAGGCCUUAGGGUUGUAAAGUACUUUCAGCGGGGAGGCGUUACCCGCAGAAGAAGCACCGGCUAACUCCGUGCCAGCCGCCGCGGUAAUAC
rnacentral:rRNA from 1 species